rnacentral:rRNA from 1 species
CAGGGGGAUAAGCGGAAGAAAUUCCGUCUAAUACCGCAUAACACCAUUUGGAGACAUCUCCAGGUGGUCAAAGGAGGCGACUCCGGCAUAGGAUGGCCAUGCGUCGCAUUAGCUAGUCGGCGGGGUAACGGCCCACCGAGGCGACGAUGCGUAGGGGUUCUGAGAGGAAGGUCCCCCACACUGGUACUGAGACACGGACCAGACUCCUACGGGAGGCAGCAGUGAGGAAUAUUGGUCAAUGGGCGCAAGCCUGAACCAGCCAAGUCGCGUGAGGGAAGACGGUCCUAUGGAUUGUAAACCUCUUUUGUCGGGGAGCAAAGCGCGGUACGAGUACCGCGAAGGAGAGUACCCGAAGAAAAAGCAUCGGCUAACUCCGUGCCAGCAGCCGCGGUAAUACGGAGGAUGCGAGCGUUAUCCGGAUUUAUUGGGUUUAAAGGGUGCGUAGGCGGAUUUGUAAGUCAGCGGUAAAAAUGCGGUGCUCAACGCCGUAUCGCCGUUGAAACUGCAGGUCUUGAGUGAGCGAGAAGUAUGCGGAAUGCGUGGUGUAGCGGUGAAAUGCAUAGAUAUCACGCAGAACUCCGAUUGUGAAGGCAGCACACCGGCGCUCAACUGACGCUGAGGCACGAAAGCGUGGGGAUCGAACAGGAUUAGAUACCCUGGUAGUCCACGCAGUAAACGAUGAAUGAUAGCUGUCCGGUCCGCUUAAGGGCUGGGUGGUACAG